rnacentral:rRNA from 1 species
AACGAACGCUGGCGGCGUGCCUAACACAUGCAAGUCGAACGUGAUCUACCCUUCGGGGUAGUGAAAGUGGCGCACGGGUGAGUAACGCGUAGAUAAUCUGCCCGAUGCUCUGGGAUAACAUCUCGAAAGGGGUGCUAAUACCGGAUAAGCCCACGGGGUCUUUGGACCCUGCGGGAAAAGAGGGGGACCUUCGGGCCUCUUGACAUCGGAUGAGUCUGCGUACCAUUAGCUAGUUGGUGGGGUAAAGGCCUACCAAGGCGACGAUGGUUAGCUGGUCUGAGAGGAUGAUCAGCCACACUGGAACUGAGACACGGUCCAGACUCCUACGGGAGGCAGCAGUGGGGAAUGUUGCGCAAUGGGGGAAACCCUGACGCAGCAACGCCGCGUGAGUGAUGAAGGCCUUCGGGUCGUAAAGCUCUGUCAGAGGGAAAGAAAUGCGGGGUGCUAAUAUCAUUUCCGCUUGACGGUACCCUCAAAGGAAGCACCGGCUAACUCCGUGCCAGCCGCCGCAGUAACAC